UUUUAGCACUUAACAACCGUCUACAACGACCUCCUCUCCCCGCGCUCGUCCCCUCCCCGCCUCCGCCCUCAAGGCUCUAUCUCCAGAUCUGGCGCGUCCGUCGGCGCAGAUGGGUACGGGCGGGCAGGCAGGGUCGGCGAUGGCCUCGCGCAAGCCCAGGUACCCCGAACACCGUCUCCGAGUCCGACGGCGCGGCCUCCGACGCCAACCCCGUCGGCGGCGACGGCGCCGGCUCCACCGCCGGCGGCAAUGCCUUGCAGCUCCCACCCCCACGCCAUUCCCGCGGGGAGGCCGCCGCCAUCAAGCCCCUCAGCUCGCGCUCCCAUGGACCCACCAUGCUGCUCCAUGGUCCCCUCCUUCACAGAGCCGCGCCCCAAGCACCCCUGCAGCGCUGCCGCCCCGUCCUCCGUGGAGCAAGCUCAAGAGGCCGUCGCAGCCCUGGAACCUCGUCGAUUCAGUGACCACGCAGAGAACUCCGUUUGCUUCUACCGGCAGCCAUGGAGAUGGAUUGGAUUACGUAUGAGGACUCCCCCAUUGGUCUAGCACGAAUCGAUGAGGGUCUUUUGGGAGAUCGACGAUGCGCCCAUGGGAGCUGGUGCCCAUGCUGCGAGAUCGGCAGCUGACUUCCAUGGAUCCUCCAUGAUUUUGCAAAUGAACUGGGGAGCGUGCAUUAUUGAUCUGGACAUCGAUUGGAACAAGGAGCCUUCAAUCGAUCUGAACGACAAUGCGGCCAAGAGAUGCACUUUGUUUUUAUCUUCGCGAGAAACAUCUGGCCUACCAGCACCAACAGGAUGUCAAGCUAAGCAGUGGCAUGAGGAACCUGGAGAUCGGGUACCACCAGGUCUAGCAUGACAGGGAUUUCACUUCCCAGAUGCCAUUCACCUUCCGGGUGCAACCCAGCCACCCCAACCUGCAGGAAGACGAGUAGCUUGGCUACUAAAUCCUGCUAUGCCACUCUGCACCGAAGGGAUUUUGGAUUACCUUUUGUUGAUGGUUUUUUAUGGUGUACGACAGACACCCGACUGAGAUCAAUGAUGAGUCACAGGAUAGCUUUCUUUUCCAGCCAAGCGAGUACAAGACUGGGAUUGUGCAAGACGUCCACAAGUGUUGUUCCCAACUCGGCAAUUCUCGCGAAAAAAAACUCGGUAACUUUCGAACACACGGUUUAUUCUAACUUUGAACUGAAUCUAGGACAACGGUACUCAUGGAUUUCUAAAUUUCCAGUGUUGUCAUGUUGCCAAAAAAAAUGCAUUUAGAAGUGAAAAUAGAAAAAAAAGUAUGGAUACAACUUUUAUGCACAUUGCAUAUCAUUAUAAUUAUAAUGAAGAGUUCGUCUCUCUAUUACUUCUGUUUGCCGGGUUCGCUAAUUUGGAUCCUUUCCUGUCCUGGUCCUGGUCCUGGCUGCUGCUACGACUACGAGGGACGGAGGGAGAGAGGAAAAGACGUUGGACGGCGCCGCGCCUUGCACUAGACGCCGCAAGGAGAGGAGUAUCGCAGAUACCAAGGCUGGCACCAGCCACGAUGCGCAUGUACACCCAUACAUGCAUGCAACGCUUCGGAAUUCCUGCUGAAAGCCAACGGCAAGGUGCUAUUGGAUGCAUGUGUGUGAAAAGAGGUUUGGAAUUUGGAGCGCAUUAGUAAUCCACCGUGUACUGCCUCCAUACGCCUAACAUAAUUAAUAUCAAGUUUGAAAAAUGGUUGUGCGCCUAACAAA